CAAAAACCAAAAAAAAUCGAGAGAAAAAAACCCUCAAAAGUCCUCUUUCCGUUCUCCUUCUUUCUUCUUCACUAUUAGUUUUCGGCUAGGGUUUCUUCUUGAUUUUCAUUGUACAGGGAAUAUCAGUUACGGUUCUUCUUUUUUUACGGCAUCAUAUUGUUGGUUAUAAUUGGAGGGAAGCAUAUUCUCCUGUGUUGAUUUUAGGUUCUUCUUUUUACGGUUUAAUAUUGUGAAUUAUAACAAUGUUUAUUCUUUCAUCUAUAUGAAUUCAGUCAGAUCCUUAACCAGGUUCAUUAAUAGCGCUGGUGAAGGUUGCAGGUAGGGUUUAAGGUUUGGUUUUUAGGGUUUAAAGCUUAGGACCAAUUUGGUUCAAUUUAAUAGCUGUGAAUCACCGAAAUUCCAUCUUUUUCGUUGAAAACUCAGUAUAACCUAAAAUCAUUAUUCAAGAAUUUGGAUCUGUAGGGUUUCACAAACUUUUCUUAAGGUAAUGAAGUAGAUUAUUCAAGAAUUUGGAUCUGUGUAUGCCUAUGAGUAGUCAGAGAGAAAGAGAGAAUGAUUUGAUUGGUAAGAUAAAUCAGUAGUUUCGUUUUAUUUUCAGUUUACUUUUGAGAAAAGUAAAUGAUUUUCCUGUUCUUCAUAUGCUAAUUUCUUAAUAGGGUUCUUAUGUUAUAACAGGUUUGAAGUUUGGGGUUUUGAUUUUUAUGAAAUUAUUGUGUUUUGGAUAAUUGAAGAACAGAUUUUAUUGAAGAAUUGAAACUUUAUUAGGUUUGUGAUAUUAUUGAAUUUCCUGUCAGAGUGUUAUUGUUAUAAUAUCAUAAGGUUUCCUACUUUUUGCAUUAAGUGAAACUAGAUAGUGUGAAAAAUGGCCAAGUGAAAGCUUCAGCAGAUUCAUAGUAUCUCAUUCAAUUGCUUUUUUAAUUGGUUAUUUUAUUUUUGUUAAAAGGUAAUUGUAGAUGUGUCUGAUAUAGUGAUAUGUCGUUGUGCUUUGAAUAUUUGUCAAGUAAGAAAAUGAUGGAAAUACAAGUUAGAUUAUGAUUAGUUCAAACAGUAGGUUUUCCAUGUGCAGGUUUGAAACUAUUUUUCUCUCCACCAGGUGAUAUAUUUUUUAAGUUCAGCUAUGCCGUUAUGUAUAUUUGAAUACUAAUUUUGGUAUAUUUACUUUUAAAAGUAGAUAGUUAAACAACUUACAAGAAGGUGUGUUGGUUAACACCAUUUUGCAUAAUCGUAUUACAUAUUAUCCAAAGGUCUGAGUUAUGUUUUUUAUUAAUUAUUUUGUUUUUGUUUUUGUUUCAUAAUUGAUUCCGAAAUACAAUUACCUUGGGUUUGGAUAGCAGGUUAAGGUGUACUCGGUGGAGGAAGCAAUCUUCUUAAUUUGGUUGUAGGUUCCAGUGUUAUUCAGUUAUAGUUCCCUAUUGUUUGGUUGCAGGUGCUAAUUUAUCCAAGUCAACAGUUAACUGAUCACAAAGAAAUGGAGAUGGUUAAGCAAUACUCUAUAUCCUUUUUAAAUAACAAAGGUUGAUCUUCUUCAACCAAGAUUCAUCAUCUUCCAUCAUUCUAUUUUAUUCUUUUUAUGGUUUGAGAGAUAGAGAUAAUGGAUAUCUUGGUAAGCAUAAUCUUCUUAUACGCACACUGAAUGCUUACAGUGGCAUGGAAGGAAUUUGUUGGUUUCUACUAUUACUCUUUGCAGGGGUAUGAUCUUCUUAUAUGCACACUGAAUGCUUACAGUGGCAUGGAAGGAAUUUGUUGGUCUAUAAGCUAUUACUCUUUGCUGGGGUAUGAUCCUAUAUGCACACUGAAUGCUUAUAGUGGCAUGGAAGGAAUUUGUUGGUUUCUAAGUUAUUACUCUUUGCAGGGGUUGUGGUUUUGCUCACACUGGGUAUUCGAAGUAGCUACUUUCGCUGAUUGGCUUCUAAGCUAUUAUUCAUAAUACUAUGAGUAAGGAGUAUUGAUAAUGGCUUAGGGUUUCUCCAAUUACAUCGGAUCAAGUUUGGUGGUCCGCUUUUCAAACACCAUUUAAUUGUAUUACUACCAGCAGGCCUUUUCACUCCUUGAAUACAAUAUUUCUAUCCUAUCGAGUUGGCUUUUAGUUCCAUUGCAGGUGAAUGAACUAAAAUUAAUGGAAUCAGCUGACGCACAUUAGCAUUUAGCAGGAUCAGAGAACUUCAGUCGAUAAGUUGAAAUGUGGACGUUCUCAUACAGUGCUUGGCCUUUUCUUCUUCGGAAAAUCGGAAAGAGUUCACGCACUACCUUUUAAUUAUAUAUUUGUUCUUAUCGUGUUAAUGCUUAACUUGGAGGGAGAAAGGCCAUUUUUUUUUUCUGCUGAUAUCAGGGUGUGGGUUCACUAAAUGGUGCUCAUAACUCACAAUCCAAGAACCAGAGCUGUUAUUUUUAUGGAAUAACCGACAUGGCAUCCUAGACAUGAUGUGUUUGCUAAGAUCUGUCUUUGGUAAACUCAUAUGUGGAAAUUGUCUUUGUGCAAGCACCUGCUGCGUAAGGAGUGGCAAGCUUUGUUGUUGAUUUUAUUAUGGAAAGCUUUAUACACGCAUUAAGCUGAUCACUUUUUGAACAGUCAAAGAAGAUGAGGACAUAAUUGAAAUGAAGCAGUCAAUGGGGUAUGAGAGAAACUCAAUAUCAAAGAGUAUAUCUGUUUGUAAAAUACUAUGUAUAAUUUACCCUUAUGUGUUCAGAAUAUUAAUGUAAAAGCAGGUCAUAAUUCAUAUUUUUAUUUAUUUUUGUAUAA